rnacentral:rRNA from 1 species
UACGGAGGGGGCUAGCGUUGUUCGGAAUUACUGGGCGUAAAGCGCACGUAGGCGGCUUUGUAAGUUAGAGGUGAAAGCCCGGGGCUCAACUCCGGAAUUGCCUUUAAGACUGCAUCGCUCGAAUUGUGGAGAGGUAAGUGGAAUUCCGAGUGUAGAGGUGAAAUUCGUAGAUAUUCGGAAGAACACCAGUAGCGAAGGCGACUUACUGGACACAUAUUGACGCUGAGGUGCGAAAGCGUGGGGAGCAAACAGG